rnacentral:lncRNA from 1 species
GUCCGCCAUCAUGUUAUUUAUGUCCUGUGGGUUAUAAAUUUUGUUUCCCUGCUCGUUGAAGAGGAAGGGUAUUUUGGCAUUCAGUUGUUUCUGACGGAGUGUUGAUGCCAGUGCCUUCCCUGCUUUGUUUCCUUGUGUAUAUGUAUUGAGUUUUAGUCUAUGCAUGAUGUUCGUUGUCUUUACUAUAUGUGUGUCAUUGACUUGUUUCUGUAUGUGUUGUAUGUGUUGUUGCCUGUCCGGUGUUGGUUAUAAGAUUUGGGCUCUAGUUUCAUCUCUAAGGGAUCUGAGUAGGUUUACAUACUCUUGAUUUGACUUGCGCUUGAGAAAAGAUGCUCUGCUUAUGAGAUGGCCGCGUAUGACUGCUUUAUGAGCUUGCCACACAGUGGCAGGUGAGACAUCGGGAGUGUUGUUUUGUGCAAAGUAUGUUAUUAUUUCUGUAUUUAGUUUGUGGGUAAAUUCCGGAUUUUGUAAAAGAGUGUCAUUCAAACGCCAGG